rnacentral:rRNA from 1 species
CAGCAGCCGCGGUAAUACGGAGGGAACUAGCGUUGUUCGGAAUUACUGGGCGUAAAGCGCACGUAGGCGGUUAUUCAAGUCAGAGGUGAAAGCCCGGGGCUCAACCCCGGAACUGCCUUUGAAACUAGAUGACUGGAAUCUUGGAGAGGUCAGUGGAAUUCCGAGUGUAGAGGUGAAAUUCGUAGAUAUUCGGAAGAACACCAGUGGCGAAGGCGACUGACUGGACAAGUAUUGACGCUGAGGUGCGAAAGCGUGGGGAGCAAACAGGAUUAGAUACCCCGGUAGUCCCUGUCUCUUAUAC